UUAAUCUCAAUUUAAACUUGUUUGCACUGUUCAUCAUCACAUAACAAGCACUAAAAUUGAUCAAAGUAAGAAUACUAAAAUUACAGCAUCCAAUAGCACCACUUAACAGACACUAAAAUUGAUCAAAGAAAGAUUGUUGCCGUACAUGUCAGAUUUUUCUGCGAUCCAAAACAAAGUUACCGUGGCAUCAUUGACAUCCUGUUCAUCAUCUCCA
rnacentral:lncRNA from 1 species